rnacentral:snoRNA from 1 species
CUGCUAAUGAUAUGGACAAUUCCGAAGAAGAUCUUUGAACCACUCCCAAGCAUGAUAUAAAUUCUCAUCUGGCUUUUGUUUGAAGCACAAAAUCUCACUGCAAAGUCU